UCCAACGCUCUGAAGAAAGUAACGCAACCAUCCAACGCUCUGAAGAAAGUAAUGCAACCAUCCAACGCUCUGAAGAAAGUAACGCAACCAUCCAACGCUCUGAAGAAAGUAACGCAACCAUCCAACGCUCUGAAGAAAGUAACGCAACCAUCCAACGCUCUGAAGAAAGUAACGCAACCAUCCAACGCUCUGAAGAAAGUAAUGCAACCAUCCAACGCUCUGAAGAAAGUGUCUCUCGUGAGGACAGAAGGACGUCCAUUACUUACCAGCAUAAGAAACAGGAAUGACGCAGUCAGCAAUGAUCUGGUGGUUUGUGGUCUUUCUCCCAUUAACCGAAUAAUCAUCUCCCCCAGCGGAGCGUCUCAUUGCAGCACUUUGCUCCCUGGAGGCAAUAAAAGUCACUUUUAAUAUUGAAAACAACUUUCAUUCGCUUUUGAGUCCAACUUCAUUUAAUCAUAAGGUUUCUUGUCUCAAUCUUUAAUUUGGGGCAAUAAGAGGAAGUCAUCCUCCUUUACGUCUACCGGCCUUCUGCUUAAAGAAAAGGGGGACUGGAGAUGUGUUGCCCCCCGACGAGAGUUUCGGGGGGAAGAACUCCAUCCUUCCUCCUUCGUGCUGCUGCAGUUCCAUAAGGAGACGGAAUCGUCUUCACGUGGCUGCUGGAGGACACGGGUGGAAAGCUGCUCACCCGUCAUUUGACUCCUGUGGAUUCCACACCAAUAAUUUACUCUAAAGGUCGAAUUAGAAUGAAGAGAAAGUGGAGCGUUGCUACAUUUACCAUCCAGAGGAUUAAGUAGGAGCCAUAAAUCAGCGUCCUGACAUCGGGGCCUGGAGCCUGCAGGGGCCCGGGCCCCCGCAUGGAGGUUAAUAAUAAUAAUGAUAAUAACGUUGAUCAAUCACCUUGCGGCUCGUUGGAUGCAAAUAGUGUGUCGUCACAGACGGAAUAUUGUUUUUUCUUGCCAACAGCACGAAGCAGGAAGUUCUGAAGUUAGAUUAUUAUCUCAUUGUGUAUAAUCAUGAACACAGGUUCCUUCCCAUCGGGACCAAAGGCUGCACACGAGUUUUUCCAAUAAACUGAAGGUGUUGAAGUGCAGAUCAAAGAGGAAUAUGUGUUUUUGCCCCUUCUGAAGUCUGGGGGGGGUCUGACAAACAAUUAUGGUCAACAGACAGAAAGGGAGGAGCAGGAAGUGAUAUUCUGAGAGGAUGGAGGCAACACAUCAAUUUGUUUUAAUGAAAGUCAACGGUGACAUGAAAGACGUAGUAAAGCAGAACUCGCACCACCUACAGAUCACACAUAUAUACGUGUAUAUAUAUAAACAUAUAUAUAUAUAUAUAUAUACACAUACAUAUAUAUAUACAUAUACACACACACACACAUAUACACAUAUAUACACACACAUAUAUAUUAUAUAUUAUAUGUAUAUAUGUGUAUAUAUACACACACACACACACACACACAUACUCCUCCUGUGAGGAACCAGUUUAUUCUGCCUUACAGAAGCAGAAGGCCGCUGAUGCUCCUCUGAAGGAGGUUUCUCUCUGAAUGGCGCUGCUGUUGCUGUGAGUUCUUUUUGUGCUCACAGGUGAAUAACAGUCGAUGGGGAAGGUGUUGCCUGGCAACAAGCAAACGGGCCUCACUUUAAAGAGAGGAGAGGACUUACCUGCAGGUACCACCUGACGGAGCUCUGUGGUGUCAGAAAGUACGACUCUCCGCGUUGCCCCGGCAACCGGUUCACCGGGUCCUGGCCCGGCCCACUCGCUGCUCCGGAUCAGCGCGUCCUCGUCUUCCCUGACGAGACUCUGGACCACGGAGGUGGGAGACGGGAUCAAUGACAACCAAAGACCCCCCGUCUCACUGCUCUGCCUGAUCAGGCCUGACAACAGUGUGGGGGGGGGGGGGGAAUCAGUCUCCAAAAGUUAAUGUGAGGUUCUGACUGAGCCCGGAGGAUCAGGGCAGUGAAGGUGGAGGAAGAACUGAACGGAAGAUGUAGAAGGAACAACAUUCCAACAUGGAGACGACCCAGUAAAGAUCACUAUACUAUACAGUAUAUACACUGUGUAGUGUAUAUACUGUAUAGUAUAAUGUAUACACUGUACUAUAGAACACAGAACGUUUGUGUGUAAAAAGGGGCAAGAAAAUGUCCUAAAUAAGUUAAUUUAUCUAAAGAUCUCCUUCACUUCAGAUGAGAACAUCUUGUUCUUCUGUGUGUUUGCUGAUGGAACGAAGUACGUUUGGCACCUGAUGAGAACACACACACACACACACACACACACACACACGCACACACACACACACACGCACACACACACACACGGCGCCGCCAGUCAAACAAACAAGACACAAGUCCAGGAGAUAAAGGAUUGACACGUCUCUCUCGUAGCUGAGGUCCAAAUGUCGGUUAUUAUCUGAGAUCCAGAGCGGAUUGAUUAUAAUGUUUAACGUGUUUACUUCCUGUGACCUUUUUGAUUGACAGCCUCCGUUUAGCGAGUGAACCCACUGGGCUCCUUUGAUCUUCUGUCAUUUUGUAGCUUCAGCUCAAUUCAGGUGUCAAAAGUUAAUUGACCCUUUUUGAAAACAAGACUUUACCAAAAUUGAUGGAUCAGGAAGGAAAAGGGAGCUCGUUAGGAAGCUCGUUAGGGAGCUCGUUAGGAAGCUCGUUAGGAGACUCGUUAGUGCACUAGAUCACCGAUCGCUGAUCAUUGACACACUGUGAUUCCAAAGUUGAAUAAAUAAGUGAUGGCGCUCAUCAAUAUGAUCUAUGAACACCGAUGCAGAUCAGAGGACACACACCGUUGGGUUCAUGUGCAGUUGUGCGUUGUGUUGGUGAAGAAGCUGCUGGUUGAGGAGAAGAUAAAUGAGAGCGGACGCAGAGUCAGAGGAGCAUCACAGCGAGCGCUGCUGUGCUGACUGACAGGUGAGUGUAUCACGCACACACUGACAUACAAGCAAACCCACACACAGCUGAAACACACAAACGCAUCACAUCGAGGUAAUAAAGAAAACCCGAAUCCGUCCUCUCAGCUGCCACCGAGCCGCAACUCGUCCCGACUACGGACGGGACAGAAGACACACGAGUCGUCGACCUCUUACACAAAAGUAACAACACACACAGAUUGUGUAGAGGUUUAUUUUGUUGUUCUAGGUCUUUUGUGUCUCAUUGUAGUUGGAUUGUGUGUUUACGCCUCCCUUAAGGAAACGUUCCUGUGCGUCCAUUUCUGUUUUGUUGAGUUGUCGGGUUGCAGAUAUAUUUUACCGCACCAAUGAUUCUGCAAUCAACGUCUUAAAAGAUGUUUUCAUGCAUCAGGGACACGUUGUUAUUGUCUCUUUCAGCACCAGACGGUGUUAUUGCAGUCGACUCGAGAUGAACACAACAUCUUAAUUCAGCUUUAAUAAAGAAAAAUCUGCCAUUAAGCGGAUCUCGUUAGAGACACACACACACCUGAGUGGUGACAACACGUGUGUGUGUGUUUCAUCAGUAAGCCUGUCCCUCUGUCCCUCCGUCCCUCUUUCCUACCGAGUCCCCCAAACCGUGUCCCGUGGGGGACAGACUUCAGCUUCAUGUGUUAAAUUAUUGAUGGAGCGUCCCCCCCCCGAGGCUCUGUGCUGUGGGACGCCGAGAAACAACAGAAUCUCUGAGGACUCGAUGCGUCUCGAUGCGUCUCGACCGACGGGUUUACAAACAUAUGGCGCGUACAGGGGACAAUAAGGGCAGAUUCCUGUCUCUUGUGUCUCCAUCUGUAUUCAUGUCUCCAUAGAAGGGAUCCGUCUUCAUGUCUUCAUGUAUUCAUGUCUCCAUAGAAGGGAUCCGUCUUCAUGUCUUCAUGUCUUCAUGUCUCCAUCAAAGGGAUCCGUCUUCAUGUCUUCAUGUCUCCAUCAAAGGGAUCCGUCUUCAUGUCUUCAUGUCUCCAUCAAAGGGAUCCGUCUUCAUGUCUUCAUG
ensembl:lncRNA